CUGUGAAGUUUCAUGAGGCUGUUUUACAUGAUGUUUUAUGCACUUCGCUCAGAUGUCCAAGGUUAAGUUGUUCAGUUCACUAUAUUUUUUACAGUUUUUUCAAUUUUACCUUUAAAUGCUGCUGACUUGUAACAUAAAAGAUCAAUAAGAGGGGCAUUGGAAUUUAUCUACCUGAUCUUAACAACUGAGAGUAAGAGCAUGUAGAUUAGUAUUUAGACAACUGAAAGGAUUGCUAGGAACUCAUAAUAUUCAUUAAGAUCUCGCUGAAGUAGAGAGUGCACUAACUUUUGGAGCUGUACAAAUUUUCCAUGGUCUAAUUUUUCUAGUAACUUCUGACUACGAGAAGGGAGAAUCAAAUAAGAUAGUAAUGCAUGUCAUAGAGCAAAUUGGAUGAAAGGGAUAGGUGUUGUACGAUUAUGUAUUUAGAACAUAUUGCUAAUUAUAAGACAAGUUCUAUAAACAUUUAUUAUACCAAUUAUGCAUUAUUUAAGUGAAUGUUUUGGCUGUUGGCUUUUCUAUUUAGUGAUUAUGAUAAGAAAAAAAUUCUUAUGGUUCCUAUGUUUUACUGAUUAUCUCCAUUCUUGUAAUGCUUUUAUAUUGUUUUGAUUUGAAACUUUUGCAUUGCGCAGAGGGGUUUUGAAGCUUUUCUGCUCAUUCUUGUUGCAUAUUUUCUGCAUAUAUUUCAUGUACCUGUUUUGUGUUUCUUUCUCUUUAGUAUUCUCGUGGAGAUCACUUGAGAUAUUUCUUUAGGAAUUUAAACACAUAAAAGGAAACUUGUACUCAAUGAGGGAACAAGUAGAGCUACUAAAUUCUGUAAGAGAUGAAUAUGAUAUCAGCAACCGCGAGUGCUUGGAUUGUUGGUACUAACAAAUAUGUUUCCGUUGUCUCAUAUGCUGCAAAAUGAAUUUAUCCAGGCAUCUGGGAGUAUGUCUUCAGAAGCACAAUUACUAUGCGAAAGAGCUGCCAUACAUGGAAGCAUACCUCGUGUACGACUUAAAACAGAUUAUUGAUUUUAAAGGCAAAUUCAUUCUGUGACAAUGAAACUCUUCAUAUUCUAUGGCCAAAAACCUAAAACAGAUUUAUCGAAUAAAUUGUUAGGGUUCAUGAUUUACUGACAGCGAACAAUUUGGACAGAAAACUCCAAGAUUGGCA
rnacentral:lncRNA from 1 species